GAUGAACGCUGGCGGCGUGCCUAAUACAUGCAAGUCGAGCGAACAGACGAGGAGCUUGCUCCUCUGGCGUUAGCGGCGGACGGGUGAGUAACACGUGGAUAACCUACCUAUAAGACUGGGAUAACUUCGGGAAACCGGAGCUAAUACCGGAUAAUAUAUUGAACCGCAUGGUUCAAUAGUGAAAGACGGUUUUGCUGUCACUUAUAGAUGGAUCCGCGCCGCAUUAGCUAGUUGGUAAGGUAACGGCUUACCAAGGCAACGAUGCGUAGCCGACAUGAGAGGGUGAUCGGACACACUGGAACGGAGACACGGACCAGAGGACUAAGGGAGGCAGCAGUAGGGAAUCGUGCGCAAUGGGCGAAAGCAUGACGGAGCAAAGCGGAGUGAGGGAUGAAGGUCUUCGGAUCGUAAAACUCUGUUAUGAGGGAAGAAAAAAUGUGUAAGUAAAUAUGCACGUCUUGACGGUAACUAAUAAGAAAGCAACGGCUAACUACGUG
rnacentral:rRNA from 1 species